rnacentral:rRNA from 1 species
AUGGCUUACCAAGCCGUUGAUCGGUACGGGUUGUGAGAGCAAGAGCCCGGAGAUGGAACCUGAGACAAGGUUCCAGGCCCUACGGGGUGCAGCAGGCGCGAAACCUCCGCAAUGUGAGAAAUCGCGACGGGGGGAUCCCAAGUGCCAUUCUUAACGGGAUGGCUUUUCAUUAGUGUAAAGAGCUUUUGGAAUAAGAGCUGGGCAAGACCGGUGCCAGCCGCCGCGGUAACACCGGCAGCUCUAGUGGUAGCAAUUUUUAUUGGGCCUAAAGCGUCCGUAGCCGGUUUAAUAAGUCUCUGGUGAAAUCCUGUAGCUUAACUGUGGGAAUUGCUGGAGAUACUAUUAGACUUGAGACCGGGAGAGGUUGGAGGUACUCCCAGGGUAGAGGUGAAAUUCUGUAAUCCUGGGAGGACCGCCUGUUGCGAAGGCGUCUAACUGGAACGGUUCUGACGGUGAGGGACGAAAGUUAGGGGCGCGAACCGGAUUAGAUACCCGGGUAGUCCUAACUGUAAACGAUGCGGACUUGGUGUUGGGGUGGCUUUGAGCUGCUCCAGUGCCGAAGGGAAGCUGUUAAGUCCGCCGCCUGGGAAGUACGGUCGCAAGACUGAAACUUAA